GUUAAGUCCAGAUAUAUCUCAGUGGUCAGAGUGUUAGACUCGUCAUUUGAAGGCCCGGUUUCGAAUCCCGUACUUUUAACU